GACGAACGCUGGCGGCGUGCUUAACACAUGCAAGUCGAACGGAAAGGCCCUGCUUUUGUGGGGUGCUCGAGUGGCGAACGGGUGAGUAACACGUGAGUAACCUGCCCUUGACUUUGGGAUAACUUCAGGAAACUGGGGCUAAUACCGGAUAGGAGCUCCUGCUGCAUGGUGGGGGUUGGAAAGUUUCGGCGGUUGGGGAUGGACUCGCGGCUUAUCAGCUUGUUGGUGGGGUAGUGGCUUACCAAGGCUUUGACGGGUAGCCGGCCUGAGAGGGUGACCGGCCACAUUGGGACUGAGAUACGGCCCAGACUCCUACGGGAGGCAGCAGUGGGGAAUAUUGCACAAUGGGCGGAAGCCUGAUGCAGCAACGCCGCGUGCGGGAUGACGGCCUUCGGGUUGUAAACCGCUUUCGCCUGUGACGAAGCGUGAGUGACGGUAAUGGGUAAAGAAGCACCGGCUAACUACGUGCCAGCAGCCGCGGUGAUACGUAGGGUGCGAGCGUUGUCCGGAUUUAUUGGGCGUAAAGGGCUCGUAGGUGGUUGAUCGCGUCGGAAGUGUAAUCUUGGGGCUUAACCCUGAGCGUGCUUUCGAUACGGGUUGACUUGAGGAAGGUAGGGGAGAAUGGAAUUCCUGGUGGAGCGGUGGAAUGCGCAGAUAUCAGGAGGAACACCAGUGGCGAAGGCGGUUCUCUGGGCCUUUCCUGACGCUGAGGAGCGAAAGCGUGGGGAGCGAACAGGCUUAGAUACCCUGGUAGUCCACGCUGUAAACGGUGGGUACUAGGUGUGGGGUCCAUUCCACGGGUUCCGUGCCGUAGCUAACGCUUUAAGUACCCCGCCUGGGAAGUACGGCCGCAAGGCUAAAACUCAAAGGAAUUGACGGGGCCCCGCACAAGCGGCGGAGCAUGCGGAUUAAUUCGAUGCAACGCGUAGAACCUUACUUGGGUUUGACAUGGAUCGGGAGUGCUCAGAGAUGGGUGUGCCUCUUUUGGGGUCGGUUCACAGGUGGUGCAUGGCUGUCGUCAGCUCGUGUCGUGAGAUGUUGGGUUAAGUCCCGCAACGAGCGCAACCCUUGUUCACUGUUGCCAGCACGUUAUGGUGGGGACUCAGUGGAGACCGCCGGGGUCAACUCGGAGGAAGGUGGGGAUGACGUCAAGUCAUCAUGCCCCUUAUGUCCAGGGCUUCACGCAUGCUACAAUGGCUGGUACAGAGAGUGGCGAGCCUGUGAGGGUGAGCGAAUCUCGGAAAGCCGGUCUCAGUUCGGAUUGGGGUCUGCAACUCGACCUCAUGAAGUCGGAGUCGCUAGUAAUCGCAGAUCAGCAACGCUGCGGUGAAUACGUUCCCGGG
rnacentral:rRNA from 1 species